AUUGAACGCUGGCGGCAGGCCUAACACAUGCAAGUCGAGCGGAUGAAGGGAGCUUGCUCCUGGAUUCAGCGGCGGACGGGUGAGUAAUGCCUAGGAAUCUGCCUGGUAUUGGGGGAUAACGUCCGGAAACGGGCGCUAAUACCGCAUACGUCCUGAGGGUGAAAGUGGGGGAUCUUCGGACCUCACGCUAUCUGAUGAGCCUAGGCCGGAUUAGCUAGUUGGUGGGGUAAAGGCUUACCAAGGCGACGAUCCGUAACUGGUCUGAGAGGAUGAUCAGUCACACUGGAACUGAGACACGGUCCAGACUCCUACGGGAGGCAGCAGUAGGGAAUAUUGGGCAAUGGGCGAAAGCCUGAUGCAGCAAUGCCGCGUGUGUGAUGAAGGUCUUCGGAUCGUAAAGCACUUUAAGUUGGGAGGAAGAGCAGUAAGUUAAUACCUUGCUGUUUUGACGUUACCAAAAGAAUAAGCACCGGCUAACUUCGUG
rnacentral:rRNA from 1 species